CUCACAGGGGGUUAGGUGGAAUGAACAUUGCCAGCCACAUGACUAGCUAAGAGUUUCCUGAUGGCUUUUACUGAAUGGCACCUUACAAUUAUAAUAACCUCCAAAGACCAACUGAGUUGUCAUGUUGAUUUGAAAGGGAAAAUGUCUACGGGAAACUCACCAGGGCUCAGAAAUUCUGAAAUGGGUUAAAUAACUUGUUGAAGCACACCAACAGUCCAUUUGGCAAAGGAAAAACAUCUGAACUGAGAACCUGAAUUUUUCUGUGUAUUGGCCUUCAUAGUGUGGGAAGGAAUAAGCAUAUCUGAAGGAGGAGAAGGAGAACUGUAAGGGUUAAACUCCCACAGUUCAUUAUACCACAGGAUCAUCUUGAGUGCUCAAAGAAGUAGGUGCAACUUGGGAGCCAUGAGUUGUUCUCCCAGGCAACAGUUAACAACAUUUAUCACUAAAUU